rnacentral:rRNA from 1 species
UGCAGUCGAGCGAGAACCACAGAAGGGGUAACCCUUCUGUGGGGAAAGCGGCGAACGGGUGAGUAACACGUGGGCAACCUGCCCCAGGCUCUGGGAUAACACCGGGAAACCGGUGCUAAUACCGGAUACUUUCGGAACCCCGCAUGAGGAUCCGAAGAAAGCUCCGGCGGCCUGGGAUGGGCCCGCGGCCUAUCAGCUUGUUGGUGGGGUAAUGGCCUACCAAGGCGACGACGGGUAGCUGGCGUGAGAGCGUGGCCAGCCAUACUGGGACUGAGACACGGCCCAGACUCCUACGGGAGGCAGCAGUGGGGAAUCUUGCGCAAUGGGCGAAAGCCUGACGCAGCGACGCCGCGUGAGGGAAGAAGGCCCUCGGGUUGUAAACCUCUUUCGGCAGGGAAGAAGCGAAAGUGACGGUACCUGCAGAAGAAGCCCCGGCUAACUACGUGCCAGCAGCCGCGGUAAGACGUNGGGGCGAGCGUUGUCCGGAUUUAUUGGGCGUAAAGAGCGCGUAGCGGUUCGGAAAGUCGGGUGUGA